rnacentral:rRNA from 1 species
AUUGAACGCUAGCGGCAUGCUUAACACAUGCAAGUCGAACGGCAGCGCGGGGAGCUUGCUCCCUGGCGGCGAGUGGCGGACGGGUGAGUAACGCGUAGGAAUCUACCUUGUAGUGGGGGACAACCCGGGGAAACUCGGGCUAAUACCGCAUAAUCCCUUCGGGGCAAAGCGGGGGACCUUCGGGCCUCGUGCUAUAAGAUGAGCCUGCGUUGGAUUAGCUUGUUGGUGGGGUAAUGGCCUACCAAGGCGACGAUCCAUAGCUGGUCUGAGAGGACGACCAGCCACACUGGGACUGAGACACGGCCCAGACUCCUACGGGAGGCAGCAGUGGGGAAUAUUGGACAAUGGGCGCAAGCCUGAUCCAGCAAUGCCGCGUGUGUGAAGAAGGCCUUCGGGUUGUAAAGCACUUUCAGUGGGGAAGAAGGCCCAAAGUUAAUAACUUUGGGAGUUGACGUUACCACAGAAGAAGCACUGGCUAACUCUGUGCCAGCAGCCGCGGUAAU